CAGUCGACGGCAGCACGGGCUUCGGCCUGGUGGCGAGUGGCGAACGGGUGAGUAAUGCAUCGGAACGUGCCCAUGUCGUGGGGGAUAACGUAGCGAAAGCUACGCUAAUACCGCAUACGCCCUGAGGGGGAAAGCGGGGGAUUCUUCGGAACCUCGCGCGAUUGGAGCGGCCGAUGUCGGAUUAGCUAGUAGGUGAGGUAAAGGCUCACCUAGGCGACGAUCCGUAGCGGGUCUGAGAGGAUGAUCCGCCACACUGGGACUGAGACACGGCCCAGACUCCUACGGGAGGCAGCAGUGGGGAAUUUUGGACAAUGGGGGCAACCCUGAUCCAGCCAUGCCGCGUGAGUGAAGAAGGCCUUCGGGUUGUAAAGCUCUUUCGGCCGGGAAGAAAUCGGCGACUCUAACAUAGUCGCUGGAUGACGGUACCGGACUAAGAAGCACCGGCUAACUACGUGCCAGCAGCC
rnacentral:rRNA from 1 species